rnacentral:rRNA from 1 species
GAGCGGCGAACGGGUGAGUAAUACAUCGGAACGUGUCCCGUAGUGGGGGAUAACCCGGCGAAAGCCGGACUAAUACCGCAUAUGCUUACGGAGGAAAGUGGGGGACCCGCAAGGGCCUCACGCCAUGGGAGCGGCCGAUGUCCGAUUAGCUUGUUGGUGAGGUAAAGGCUUACCAAGGCGACGAUCGGUAGCUGGUCUGAGAGGAUGAUCAGCCACACUGGGACUGAGACACGGCCCAGACUCCUACGGGAGGCAGCAGUGGGGAAUUUUGGACAAUGGGGGCAACCCUGAUCCAGCCAUGCCGCGUGCGGGAAGAAGGCCUUCGGGUUGUAAACCGCUUUUGUCCGGGAAGAAAAGGCACCCCCUAAUACGGGAUGCUCUUGACGGUACUGGAAGAAUAAGCACCGGCUAACUACGUGCCAGCAGCCGCGGUAAUACGUAGGGUGCGAGCGUUAAUCGGAAUUACUGGGCGUAAAGCGUGCGCAGGCGGUUCGUCAUGUCUGAUGUGAAAGCCCCGGGCUCAACCUGGGAAUGGCAUUGGAAACUAGCGGGCUGGAGUGUGGCAGAGGGGGGUGGAAUUCCACGUGUAGCAGUGAAAUGCGUAGAGAUGUGGAGGAACACCGAUGGCGAAGGCAGCCCCCUGGGCUAACAC